AUGUUUCCAUUCAAGUUUAAGAGGAAGCAAUUUCCUAUAAGACUUAGCUUUGCUAUGACCAUUAACAAGGCUCAAGGGCAGACCAUCCCUAUUGUUGGUAUCUACCUACCCAAUCCUGUGUUCUCUCAUGGUCAACUCUAUGUUGCUUUAUCUCGAGCCACCGCGAAGAGGAACAUAAAGAUACUAAUUUAG
rnacentral:rRNA from 1 species